GUUGAGGUAUACCACCGUCGUACUGUUGUCUUACUGUAUCUGGACAGCUUUGUAUAGAAUCUCUGGUUUGAAAACCGCAAAGAAUUCUUUGCAAUUUGAUGAGUUUCUUAUUUUAUAUUCCACUUUCCCUUUUUCACAAGUGAACCCAUGCAUGCUGUUAGCAGAUCCAGCGUACUUAUUGCUGUCCUUAUCGAGCAAACUCUAGUUCCUCGAUGAUCUAAAAUAGCCUUUCUUAUCUUUUUUUUUUCUUUUGGCAGUGGGAGAAACAUUUUCAUUUUUAU